GACGAACGCUGGCGGCGUGCUUAACACAUGCAAGUCGAACGGAAAGGCCCUGCUUUUGUGGGGUGCUCGAGUGGCGAACGGGUGAGUAACACGUGAGUAACCUGCCCUUGACUUUGGGAUAACUUCAGGAAACUGAGGCUAAUACCGGAUAGGAGCUCCUGCUGCAUGGUGGGGGUUGGAAAGUUUCGGCGGUUGGGGAUGGACUCGCGGCUUAUCAGCUUGUUGGUGGGGUAGUGGCUUACCAAGGCUUUGACGGGUAGCCGGCCUGAGAGGGUGACCGGCCACAUUGGGACUGAGAUACGGCCCAGACUCCGACGGGAGGCAGCAGUGGGGAAUAUUGCACAAUGGGCGGAAGCCUGAUGCAGCAACGCCGCUUGCGGUAUGACGGCCUUCGGGUUGUAAACCGCUUUCGCCUGUGACGAAGCGUGAGUGACGGUAAUGGGUAAAGAAGCACCGGCUAACUACGUG
rnacentral:rRNA from 1 species